UACGUAGGGGGCAAGCGUUGUCCGGAAUCAUUGGGCGUAAAGAGCGUGUAGGCGGCCAGAUAAGUCCGCUGUGAAAUCUCGAGGCUCAACUUCGAGCUGUCGGUGGAAACUGUCUGGCUAGAGUCCGGAAGAGGAGAAUGGAAUUCCUGGUGUAGCGGUGAAAUGCGCAGAUAUCAGGAAGAACACCCGUGGCGAAGGCGGUUCUCUGGGACGGUACUGACGCUGAGACGCGAAGGCGUGGGGAGCGAACAGG
rnacentral:rRNA from 1 species